AUACUAAGAGCAUACGGUGGAUGCCUUGGCGAUAUCUGCCGACGAAGGACGUGACAAGCUGCGAAAAGCUGCGGAGAGAUGCAAAUAAUCGGCGACCCGCAGACAUCCGAAUGGAGAAAUCCGGCUGUGAUGAUGCACAGCCAUCCAUGCCCAAGAGCAUGAGAAGGGAACCGGGCGAACUGAAACAUCUAAGUAACCCGAGGAAAAGAAAUCAAACGAGAUACCCCAAGUAGCGGCGAGCGAACAGGGAAGAAGCCCAAACCGGUGAAGGAAACUUUACCGGGGUUGAGGACCAUCAGACCCGCGAAGAACCUUAGCCGAAACUGUUGGGAAACAGUGCCAAAGACAGUGAAAGCCUGGUAGGCGAAAAAGAGAAACGCGGAGAUGGCACCAGAGUACCGCGGGACACGAGAAAUCCCGUGGGAAGCAGGGGGGACCACCCUCCAAGGCAAAACACAGAUAUCGACCGAUAGCGCAUAGUACCAUGAGGGAAAGGUGAAAAGCACCCCGGGAGGGGAAUGAAAGAGAACCUGAAACCGUAUGUUUACAAGCAGUCGGAGACCGCUUAAUAAUAAGGUCGACGGCGUGCCUAUUGAAGAAUGAACCGGCGAGUUACGAAGCCUGGCAAGGUUAAGCAGGAAAUGCGGAGCCGAAGCGAAAGCGAGUCUUAAGAGGGCGCAAGUCAGGAAGCGUAGACCCGAAACCACAGUGAUCUACCCAUGUCCAGGUUGAAACACAGGUAAAAAUGUGUGGAGGACCGAACCUAUAUCCGUUGAAAAGGGUUAGGAUGAGGUGUGGGUAGGGGUGAAAUUCCAAUCGAACGUGGAGAUAGCUGGUUCUCCCCGAAAUAGCUUUAGGGCUAGCCUCAGGGAAAAGAUUGCAGGCGGUAGAGCACUGAUCAGGAGAGGGACCUACCCGGUUACCAAACCCAGUCAAACUCCGAAUGGCUGCAAUCAUACCUGGGAGUCAGACUGCGACUAAUAAGGGCCGCAGUCAAAAGGGAAACAGCCCAGACCAUCAGCUAAGGUCCCCAAUGCCGUGCUAAGUGGCGAAGGAUGUGGCAUUUCAUAAACAACCAGGAUGUUGGCUCAGAAGCAGCCACCAUUUAAAGAGUGCGUAAUAGCUCACUGGUCGAGAGACGCUGCGCCGAAAAUGUCCGGGGCUCAAGCACGGAACCGAAGCUAUGGCAUGAUAGCAAUAUCAUGGGUAGGGGAGCGUUCUUAUAAGGAAGAAGCAUGACCGGAAGGACAUGUGGACGAAUAAGAAGUGAGAAUGCCGGUAUGAGUAUCGAAAAGAAAGGUGAGAAUCCUUUCCACCGAAAGCCCGAGGGUUCCUGAGCAACGAUCGUCGACUCAGGGUAAGUCGGGACCUAAGCCGAGGCGAGAAGCGUAGGCGAUGGACAACAGGUUGAAAUUCCUGUACCGGAUCAAGUCGAUCGAGCGAAGGAGCGACGCAGGAGGGCACAUGAUCGCGCGGCUGGAAGAGCGCGUCCAAGUGCGUAUGUUGCUGCAGAGGAAAACCCCUGUAGCUGAAAGCAGAGACAUGAAGGGGAGUUAAAGGAAACUUUGACGAACUCAUGAAUCCCACACUGCCAAGAAAAACUUCUAGCGAGACAAGAUCCGCCCGUACCGUAAACCGACACAGGUAGGCGGGGAGAGAAUCCUAAGGUGCGCGGGAAAACCCUCGUUAAGGAACUCGGCAAAUUGCAUCCGUAACCUAGGGAGAAGGAUGGCCCCCGGUCAGUGAAGAGCAGAAACGCUCAGAGCUAAAAGGGGCGGCAGAAAAGAGGCCCAAGCAACUGUUUACCAAAAACACAGGUGCCUGCGAAAGCGAAAGCUGAAGUAUAGGUGCUGACGCCUGCCCGGUGCCGGAAGGUUAAGGAGAGAAGUUAGCGAAAGCGAAGCAUCGAACUGAAGCCCCGGUGAACGGCGGCCGUAACUAUAACGGUCCUAAGGUAGCGAAAUUCCUUGUCGGGUAAGUUCCGACCCGCAUGAAAGGCGUAAUGAUUUGGGCACUGUCUCAACGAGGGGCCCGGUGAAAUUGAAAUACCUGUGAAGAUGCAGGUUACCCGCGACUGGACAGAAAGACCCCAUGGAGCUUCACUGCAGCUUGAGAUUGAAUCCCGGUGACAGAUGCACAGGAUAGGUGGGAGGCGCCGAAGCAUUGCCCUAGGGCGGUGCGGAGCCGAUGUUGGGAUACCACCCUUCUGUUGCUGAGAUUCUAACGCGAGGAGUAACGACCCUGCGGACCCUCUCAGGCAGGCGGUUUGACUGGGGCGGUCGCCUCCGAAAGAG
rnacentral:rRNA from 1 species